rnacentral:lncRNA from 1 species
CACCGGGAGCAUCUGUUCCCAUACCAGCGGGAACAGACCCCCAUAACACAGGAAACUUCCUCCAUAACCGGCGGGAACAGCAUCCCCUCACACCGAGAGCAGCCCCCCACCACUGCUGUGCCGUUCCCCCUCACACCGGGAGCACCUCCAUCACUGCGGGAACAAGCUCCCCUCACACCGGGGGCAGCUCUCCAUCACUGCGGGAACAAGCUCCCUCACACCGGGGGCAGCUCCAUCACUGCAGGCAGGAGCUGUUCCCUCACACAGGGAGCAGCUCCAUCACUGCGGGAACAAGCUCCCCUCACACCGGGAGCAGCUCCAUCACUGCGGGAACAAGCUCCCCUCACACAGGGAGCAGCUCUCCAUCGCUGCGGGAACAAGCUCCCCUCACACCGGGGGCAGCUCCAUCACUGCAGGAACAAGCUCCCCUCACACAAGGAGCAGCUCUCCAUCACUGCAGGAACAAGCUCCCCUCACACCGGGAGCACCUCCAUCACUGCGGGAACAAACUCCCCUCACACCGGGAGCACCUCCAUCACUGAAGGAACUGGUCCCUCACACAGGGAGCAGCUCUCCAUCACUGCAGGAACAAGCUCCCCUCACACCGGGGGCAGCUCCAUCACUGCAGGAACAAGCUCCCCUCACACAGGGAGCAGCUCCAUCACUGCGGGAACAAGCUCCCCUCACACCGGGGGCAGCUCCAUCACUGCAGGAACAAGCUCCCCUCACACCGGGAGCACCUCCAUCACUGCAGGAACAAGCUCCCCUCACGCCGGGAGCAGCUCUCCAUCACUGCGGGAACAAGCUCCCUCACACCGGGGGCAGCUCUCCAUCACUGCAGGAACAAGCUCCCCUCACACCGGGAGCAGCUCUCCAUCACUGCGGGAACAAGCUCCCUCACACCGGGGGCAGCUCUCCAUCACUGCAGGAACAAGCUCCCCUCACACCGGGGGCAGCUCCAUCACUGCGGGAACAAGCUCCCCCACACCGGGGGCAGCUCCAUCACUGCAGGAGCUGUUCCCUCACACCGGGAGCACCUCCAUCACUGCGGGAACAAGCUCCCCUCACACCGGGAGCAGCUCCAUCACUGCGGGAACAAGCUCCCUCACACCGGGAGCAGCUCCAUCACUGCGGGAACAAGCUCCCCUCACACAGGGAGCAGCUCUCCAUCGCUGCAGGAACAAGCUCCCCCACACCGGGGGCAGCCGCCCCUCGGGCCGGGGUCCGCUCACCGCGCUGUGCCCGCGGGUCCCGCCCCGCGGGUCCCGCCCGGGAUCUCCCCGGUCCCGCACCCCGGCAGGGAUUUCCGCAGGGAUCACGGCUCCAGCCGGGCUCCCCGCCUGCCUCAUCCUCCUCCCCGCACCCCACACGGACGAUUAA